GACGAACGCUGGCGGUGUGCUUAACACAUGCAAGUCGAACGGUAAGGCCCUUUCGGGGGUACACGAGUGGCGAACGGGUGAGUAACACGUGAGUAACCUGCCCUCAUCUCUGGGAUAACAGUCGGAAACGGUUGCUAAUACUGGAUAUGAGCUUGCAAGGCAUCUUGUGGGUUGGAAAGAUUUUUUUGGUUGGGGAUGGACUCGCGGCCUAUCAGCUUGUUGGUGAGGUAGUGGCUCACCUAGGCUUCGACGGGUAGCCGGCCUGAGAGGGCGACCGGCCACAUUGGGACUGAGAUACGGCCCAAACUCCUACGGGAGGCAGCAGUGGGGAAUAUUGCACAAUGGACGGAAGUCUGAUGCAGCAACGCCGCGUGCGGGAUGACGGCCUUCGGGUUGUAAACCGCUUUCAAUUGUGACGAAGCUUUUUGUGACGGUAGCAGUAGAAGAAGCACCGGCUAACUACGUG
rnacentral:rRNA from 1 species